rnacentral:rRNA from 1 species
AGCCAGACUCCUACGGGAGGCAGCAGUGGGGAAUAUUGCACAAUGGGGGAAACCCUGAUGCAGCGACGCCGCGUGAGUGAAGAAGUAUUUCGGUAUGUAAAGCUCUAUCAGCAGGGAAGAAAAUGACGGUACCUGACUAAGAAGCCCCGGCUAACUACGUGCCAGCAGCCGCGGUAAUACGUAGGGGGCAAGCGUUAUCCGGAUUUACUGGGUGUAAAGGGAGCGUAGACGGCAUGGCAAGUCAGAUGUGAAAGCCCGGGGCUCAACCCCGGGACUGCAUUUGAAACUGUCAGGCUGGAGUGCAGGAGAGGUAAGUGGAAUUCCUAGUGUAGCGGUGAAAUGCGUAGAUAUUAGGAGGAACACCAGUGGCGAAGGCGGCUUACUGGACUGUAACUGACGUUGAGGCUCGAAAGCGUGGGGAGCAAACAGGAUUAGAUACCCCUGUAUA